rnacentral:rRNA from 1 species
UUCGUAGGCGGUCUUGCAAGUCAGGGGUGAAAUCUAUCGGCUUAACCGCUAAAUUGCCCUUGAAACUGCUUGACUUGAGUACAGGAGAGGAAAGCGGAAUUCUCGGUGUAGCGGUGAAAUGCGUGGAUAUCGAGAGGAACACCUGUGGCGAAAGCGGCUUCCUGGCCUGAUACUGACGCUGAUGAACGAAAGCCAGGGGAGCGAACG